UUGAAUUAGUGUCACCCAUUAAUCGGGUUCCAAAUCAGUUAGAAAAUUACCAAAAAAUAUUUUUACUUGUAAAGUAAGUUAUAUGAUUAUGAGGGUUGUGAAAAAUAAAACGUCGAUAAUGACAAUGUAUCGCAAAGAAAAAAGAAAGAAAAAAAUAAAGAACAUACAAAUUUUUACGUGGAAACCCUUUCGGGAAAAAACCA
rnacentral:lncRNA from 1 species